rfam:Rattus norvegicus chromosome 15, whole genome shotgun sequence.
GGGGAUUUAGCUCAGCGGUAGAGCGCUUGCCUAGCAAGCGCAAGGUCCUGGGUUCGGUCCCCAGCUCCG